rnacentral:rRNA from 1 species
GAUGAACGCUAGCUACAGGCUUAACACAUGCAAGUCGAGGGACCGGCGCACGGGAGAGUAACACGUAUAACACCUGCCCUUUACUCGGUGAUAGCCUUUCGAAAGAAAGAUUAAUACCUGAUAUAAAGGAUGGUGAUGCGUUUCAUUAGGUUGUUGGGAAGGUAACGGCCCACCAAGCCUUCGAUGGAUAGGGGUUGUGAGAGGAAGGACACCUACAUUGUGACUGUGACACGGUCCAUACUGCUACGGGAGGCAGGAAUGAGGAAUAAUGGUGAAUGGGCGCGAGCCUGAAACAGCCAAUUAGCGUGAAGGGUGAAGGCUUAUGGGUCUUAAAUUUCUGUGAUAUAUGAAUAUGUAUUAUAUGAAUAAGGAUCGGCUAACUACGUGCCAGCAGCCGCGGUAAUAC